CAGGAUGAACGCUAGCGACAGGCUUAACACAUGCAAGUCGAGGGGCAGCAUAAAAGUAGCAAUACUUGGUGGCGACCGGCGCACGGGUGAGUAACGCGUAUGCAACCUACCUAUCAGAGGGGAAUAACCCGGCGAAAGUCGGACUAAUACCGCAUAAAACAGGGACACCGCAUGGUGAUAUUUGUUAAAGAAAUUCGCUGAUAGAUGGGCAUGCGUUCCAUUAGGUAGUUGGUGAGGUAACGGCUCACCAAGCCGACGAUGGAUAGGGGAACUGAGAGGUUGGUCCCCCACACUGGUACUGAGACACGGACCAGACUCCUACGGGAGGCAGCAGUGAGGAAUAUUGGUCAAUGGGCGAGAGCCUGAACCAGCCAAGUCGCGUGAAGGAAGAAGGAUCUAUGGUUCGUAAACUUCUUUUGCAGGGGAAUAAAGUGCAGGACGUGUCCUGUUUUGUAUGUACCCUGAGAAUAAGGAUCGGCUAACUCCGUGCCAGCCGCCGC
rnacentral:rRNA from 1 species